AUUGAACGCUGGCGGCAGGCCUAACACAUGCAAGUCGAACGGUAACAGGAAGCAGCUUGCUGCUUCGCUGACGAGUGGCGGACGGGUGAGUAAUGUCUGGGAAACUGCCUGAUGGAGGGGGAUAACUACUGGAAACGGUAGCUAAUACCGCAUAACGUCGCAAGACCAAAGAGGGGGACCUUCGGGCCUCUUGCCAUCGGAUGUGCCCAGAUGGGAUUAGCUAGUAGGUGGGGUAACGGCUCGCCUAGGCGACGAUCCCUAGCUGGUCUGAGAGGAUGACCAGGCACACUGGAACUGAGACACGGUCCAGACUCCUACGGGAGGCAGCAGUGGGGAAUAUUGCACAAUGGGCGCAAGCCUGAUGCAGCCAUGCCGCGUGUAUGAAGAAGGCCUUCGGGUUGUAAAGUACUUUCAGCGGGGAGGAAGGCGAUAAGGUUAAUAACCUUGUCGAUUGACGUUACCCGCAGAAGAAGCACCGGCUAACUCCGUGCCAGCAGCCGCAGUAA
rnacentral:rRNA from 1 species